CCACCCCUCCGCUCGCCCCGCCCCGCUGGCUCCGCCGCCGCUACAGAUGCGGCGCGGCGCGCAGCUACAGAGACCCGGAUGUCGUUGGGCAGGAAAUGCGGUGAGGGCUGGUGGGCGGGGGAGGGGCCGCCACAGAUGACGUCACUGCCUUACCCAGCUUCUUUUUUUGCCGCUGCUGCUGCCGCCGCCGUUCCCUUACGGCCUGGAGCACCAGGCCGAAGCCGAAGGGAGCGUCCGGAUCCCGGAUAGCAGCCAGGACCCGGGCCUUCACGUGCCGGCGCCAGGGACUGGACAGAAUGUGCGGCUAUUAGGUGCCCAGUAGAUCGACAGCCCCUCCGUGCCCGGCCCUUGGCCAAGUAGGGACUCGGAAGCUACCCCUACGGCGUCCGCGCCCCGAGCCCUGGCUCUUCUACCUGCCUGCAGAUACAAACCCCACUCCCUGCGAAGAUGGUGUACACGCAGCCCCGAGCACAGACCCGAAGCUGUCCACCCUUCUUGGGCGCCGUCGCGGUCUGGCCGCUGCCCUUCGAACCCAUGUUCAGACAGGGUUUCACCGUGUUGGCCAGGAUGGUCUCAAUUUCCUGACCUCGUGAUCCACCCGCCUCGGCCUCCCAAAGUGCUGGGAUUACAGUCGUGAGCCACUGUUCCCGGCCAGAAUUUCUUAGAAGAAGAUGAACAUGGAUCAUUUCC
rnacentral:lncRNA from 1 species